GCCGAAGUGGUGGAAUUGGUAGACACACCAUCUUGAGGGGGUGGCGGUCGAAAGGCCGUGCGAGUUCGAGUCUCGCCUUCGGCACCA
rnacentral:tRNA from 1 species